rnacentral:rRNA from 1 species
GACGGGGGGGGCAAGUGUUCUUCGGAAUGACUGGGCGUCAAGGGCACGUAGGCGGUGAAUCGGGUUGAAAGUGAAAGUCGCCAAAAAGUGGCGGAAUGCUCUCGAAGCCAAUUCACUUGAGUGGGACAGAGGAGAGUGGAAUUUCGUGUGUAGGGGUGAAAUCCGUAGAUCUACGAAGGAAGGCCAAAAGCGAAGGCAGCUCUCUGGGUCCCUACCGACGCUGGGGUGCGAAAGCAUGGGGAGCGAACAGG